ensembl:misc_RNA 7SK 7SK RNA
UAAUGUGUUGGUUCCUGUGGCAUGUCACUCCAUCGAUGACCAGGGUUGACCUGGCUGUUGUGGCUGGCUGGGUGGGUGUUCCGUUCCCCCUAACUGCUCCGCGUGCAUGCACCCUGAAGCUGCAUGUUCACUCAAAGAGAAUGACCUUCCCCCAGAGAGGAGGACUGUUUUUUGCUAAGGGUAUAUGAGUAGCUGGGUUCUCCUGCUGGAACCUCUGAAGAAGUUCCUUAGUAGCUUCUAAUGAUGACAAACUUAAUUUAAAAAAUCAUUAUGAAAACAUCGAAUAUGUUCAAUGUAUUU